GACGAACGCUGGCGGCGUGCCUAAUACAUGCAAGUCGAGCGGAAGUUGGAGAGCUUGCUCUUCAACUUUAGCGGCGGACGGGUGAGUAACACGUGGGCAACCUGCCCUGCAGAUCGGGAUAACUCCGGGAAACCGGUGCUAAUACCGAAUAGUUUUCGCCACCUCCUGGUGGCGUACGGAAAGACGGUUUCGGCUGUCACUGCAGGAUGGGCCCGCGGCGCAUUAGCUAGUUGGUGGGGUAACGGCCCACCAAGGCGACGAUGCGUAGCCGACCUGGAAGGGGGAUCGGCCACACUGGGGCUGAGACACGGCCCAGACUCCUACGGGAGGAAGCAGUAGGGAAUCUUCCGCAAUGGACGAAAGGCUGACGGAGCAACGCCGCGUGAGUGACGAAGGUUUUCGGAUCGUAAAACUCUGUUGUGAGGGAAGAACAAGUACCAAUUAACUACUGGUACCUUGACGGUACCUCACCAGAAAGCCACGGCUAACUACGUGCCAGCAGCCGCCGCAGUAA
rnacentral:rRNA from 1 species